GCCCCUGUAGCUCAGCCGGUUAGAGCAGCGGACUCAUAAUCCGUCGGUCGCGGGUUCAAGUCCCGCCGGGGGCACCA
rnacentral:tRNA from 1 species